AGGAAACAGCAUCUUCCUAUGAUAUUAAAAAAAUGACUGCUCCAAUAGCUCUCUGGAAUGGUGGGAACGACUGGGUUUCAACCCCAAAGAAUAUUGCCCGGUGGUUGCCUCAGGUCUCAAACUUAGUUUACCACAAGAUGAUUCCUGACUGGCAACACACAGAUUUCUUCUUGGGCCUUGAUGCCCCACAGCGCUUGUAUGAAGAGAUAAUUGAGUUUAUGCAGAAUUAUGUUGUUGUUUUUUUAAAUGAUAUUUAUUAAAGUUUCACAAAAAUACAGAAAACAAAGAAAAAAGUAUAGAUUACAGCAAAAAAGUAAAAAGUAAGAAAAAACAUACAAAAUAAAACAGUUAAAAACACAAUAAUGUUCCAUAACCUAUCUUCCUUACUCUUAUUUCCCCAGACCUCCUCAUACCUCCCUUCUUUGUAUUCCAAUUCAGUUUGUUGGUUCAGCAAAUCCUUACCAUUAAUCUUUUACCCAAUUGUUAACCUUUUUUUUCAUGUCUCUUAAAGCAUUACAGCUAAAAACCUCUUAAUUUCUAUCCAACAUCCUUCUAAAGUUCCUUAAUUUUACAAUAUUUCUGUGAAUAGUGCUUAAAUUUUUCCAGUCUUCUUUCACCGACUCUUCUCCCUGGUCUCGGAUUCUGCCAGUCAUUUCCAAUUCCAUGUAGUCAAUCACCUUCAUUUGCCAUUCUUCCAAAGUGGGUAGAUCUUGUGUCUUCCAAUACUUUGCAAUAAGUAUUCUUGCUGCUGUUGUAGCAUACAUGAAAAAGGUUCUGUCCUUCUUUGGCACCAGUUGGCCGACAAUGCCCAAGAGAAAGGCCUCUGGUUUCUUCAGAAAGGUAUAUUUAAAUACCUUUUUCAGUUCAUUAUAUAUCAUUUCCCAGAAAGCCUUAAUCUUUGGGCACGUCCACCAAAGGUGAAAGAAUGUACCUUCAGUUUCUUUACAUUUCCAACAUUUAUUAUCGGGCAAAUGAUAAAUUUUUGCAAGCUUGACUGGGGUCAUGUACCACCUGUAUAUCAUUUUCAUAAUAUUCUCUCUUAAGGCAUUACAUGCCGUAAACUUCAUACCUGUGGUCCAUAACUGUUCCCAGUCAGCGAACAUAAUGUUAUGUCCAACAUCUUGUGCCCAUUUAAUCAUAGCAGAUUUCACCGUUUCAUCCUGAGUAUUCCAUUUCAACAGCAAGUUAUACAUUCUUGACAAAUUUUUAGUUUUGGGUUCUAACAAUUCUGUUUCUAAUUUUGACUUUUCCACUUGGAAGCCUAUUUUCUUAUCCAAGUUAUAUGCCUCCAUUAUCUGAUAGUAGUGGAGCCAAUCUCUCACUUUAUUUUUAAUUUUUCAAAACUCUGCAGUCUCAAUUUAUCUCCUUCUUGCUCCAAAAUUUCCCAAUAUGUCGGCCAUUUGGCCUCCAUAUUGAGCCUUUUCAGAGCUUUUGCUUCCAUUGGUGACAGCCACCUUGGGGUUUUAUUUUCCAAUAAGUCUUUGUAUCUUAUCCAGACAUUAAACAAUGCUUUCCUAACAAUAUGAUUUUUGAAUGCUUUGUGUGCUUUGACCUUAUCAUACCAUAAAUAUGCAUGCCAUCCAAAUACAUUGUUAAAACCUUCUAAAUCCAAAAUGUCUGUGUUUUCAAGAAGUAGCCAUUCUUUCAGCCAGCAAAAAGCUGCUGAUUCAUAAUAAAGUUUAAGGUCUGGCAGGGCAAAUCCACCUCUUUCCUUGGCGUCAGUUAAUAUCUUAAAUUUUAUUCUGGGCUUCUUGCCCUGCCAGACAAAUCUAGAAAUAUCUCUCUGCCACUUCUUGAAACAGUCCAUCUUAUCUACAAUUUGUAAUGUCUGAAACAAAAACAACAUUCUAGGCAAUACAUUCAUCUUUAUCACAGCAAUACGGCCCAGCAACGAGAGUUUCAAAUUUGACCAAAUUUCUAAAUCUUUUUCACUUCCGUCCAACAUUUUACGUAAUUAUCUUUAAAUAAGUUCCCAUUUUUGGCUGUCAUAUUAAUCCCCAAGUAUUUCACUUUCUUUACCACAUUCAAUCCUGUCUCAUUCUGAAACCUCUCUCUUUCAAUCGGUGUUAAGUUUUCUCUAAAACCUUAGUUUUUAACUUGUUCAAUUUAAAACCUGCCACCUGACCAAAUUCCUGAAUUAAUUCUAAAACUCUUUUAGUACUAGAUUCUGGCUCCUGUAACGUCAAUACUAGGUCAUCUGCAAAUGCUCUCAAUUUGUACUGUUUAGCUCCGACCUGUAUGCCCUUAACCAACCGGUCCUUUCUAAUCAUAUUUAGCAAAACCUCCAGGACCGAUAUAAAAAGCAGUGGGGAAAUUGGGCACCCCUGUCGUGUCCCUUUUUCUAUCUUAAAUUCUUCCGUAACCACAUUAUUUACAAUUAAUUUAGCCUUUUGUUCAGAGUAUAUUGCACCUAUACCAUUUUCAAAACCUUGGCCUACCCCCAUCCCAUGCAGAUUCUUCUUCAUAAAACUCCAAGAGAUAUUAUCAAAAGCUUUCUCCGCGUCAACAAAUAUCAAUACUGCUUUGGUGUUUAUAUUCACUUCUAAUUUUUCCAAAAUAUCAAUUAUAUUCCUCAAGUUAUCAGACAGAUGUCUUCCCGGAGAAAGCCCGCUUGGUCUUUAUGAAUCUCUUUCAUCAAUAUUUUUUCAAUCUCUUGGCCAAAAUGUCUGCAAAAAUUUUGUAAUCCACAUUAAGUAACGAUAUAGGGCGAUAGUUCUUAAGCUGAGUCUUUUCAGUCUCUGUUUUCGGUAUAAGUGUGAUGUACGCCUCUUUCCACGAUUCUGGUGCCCUUUUCCCCUCCAGUAUUUCAUUGCAGACUUCCUUCAAAGGUUGCAGUAACCACUCUUUCAAAGAUCUAUAGUAUCUGGAAGUCAGCCCGUCCGGUCCUGGAGAUUUGCCCAAUUGCAUAUUUUGUAUGGCACCUUCUACUUCCUGUUCAGAUAUUUUAUAGUUCAGCAUUAAUUUACUUUCUUGAGAGAUUUUUGUAGGCCAUUUGUCUUCAAAAAUUGGUCUAUGUCCAUUUCCUUCUGUGGCCCUUGUGUGUAUAAUUGUUUAAAGUACUUCUGGAAGCAAUUUCUAAUCUCAUUUGGAUUAUGUAUACUCUUUCCUUCCACUUCUAAAUUUAUAAUAGUAUUUAAUUUUUGUCUUUUUUUCAUUUGCCAGGCCAACAGUUUUCCACAUUUAUUAGCUGAUUCAAAUGUUUUUUGUCUCAUUUGUUUGAUUUUCCAUUCUAUUUCCUGAUUCAUCAUUUCCAUAUAUUGUACUUGAUAUAAUUUUAUUUCUCUCAAAAUCUCCUGGGACUUUGGUUUUGCUCUCAAUUUCUUCUCUCCUUCUUUUAUUUUUUCCAAGAUUUUAUCUUUCUUUUCAUUUUGACUUCUCUUCUUUAUUGCAUUCUGUUGUAUCAAAACCCUCUCAUCACAGCUUUGCUUGCGUCCCAGAUUACUCUUUUUCUACAUUGGUAUUCAUAUUUAUUUCAAAAUAAUCUCUCAAAGUCUUUUGGGCCUUUUUGUAAACUUCUUCAUCUCUAAAUAAGGUGUCAUUCAUCCUCCAUCUAAAGGAUCCGGUUGUUGUUUGUUUCAUCUCCAUCCUUACAGCAUUAUGGUCGGAACAAGUUUUUGGGCAGAUUUCUACCUUCUUUAUCUUUGGUGCCAUUCCUCUAGUUAUCCAUAUUUGGUCAAUUCUAGUCCAUAUCAUCUUGGCUUCAGAAAAAAAGGUUCCUUCUCUUCCCAGGGGGUUCUUUACCCUCCAGGAGUUUAUGCAGAAUUAUGAGUGAGUUUGGGAUCCUGAAAUAGUCCUCCAAGAAACCAUCACCAUCAGUCUAUGAUGAUGAUGACAACGACAACA